ensembl:lncRNA
GUCAUGGGGUUGGUAUAGCAUGUAGCUGUGUCGGGGUCAUCUGUCUAUUAGUGUGAUUUAUAUCAAACAGUUACAUCAAUGUCCAUGAAGAUGGUAUUAAUUGCUCAUCUAAAAAUCCCACCUAAUUGAAACUAUACAUGGAAGAUCUCAUUUGACUCUGUUUUGCUAUUUGUCAUAAAUGUUUUGAAAGAGGUAGAGAGUAUGGACAAUAAAAAGAGGUAGAGAGUAUGGACAAUAAAAGAGGUCGAGAGUAUGGACAAUAAAAGAGGUAGUGAGUAUGGACAAUAAAAGAGGUCGAGAGUAUGGACAAUAAAAGAGGUCGAGAGUAUGGACAAUAAAAGAGGUAGAGAGGCAUCUGGUGAAGGAACAGUAUAGAUAUAAGAAUGAGAAAGAGAGGGGCAUCGAAAACACAAGGUUUGGUGAUUGAUGAGGAGAUGAGCCAAAGAGCGUGGAAGAAAAUGGAAAAUAAGAAGAAAGGAUGGAGGAGAGGCAGAGAGAAAGCUGGAGAAGAAAAUGAAAGGAAAGGAAAUGAGAGGGAGAGCCCAAUAGAGAUAUUAAAGAAAGAAAGAAAACGUCGUUCCAGUUGAGAGGAGCGUUUUGCACUCUGGUCUUUCUUUCUUGUUCGGGUGGAGAGACCAAAUCCAAUGGUGAAUUGUGAAGGGUGGAGACACACACAGGGCAUUGUGGGGGUCACAACCUUGACUAUCGAUCCGAGCCUCCAUAAUUUCCCGGGCUUGCUGAGAUUCC